GCGCCACUGGAACGUUGUUCGUUGUCACAUAGUAAUAAUACUACGGCGGCCGUGGUACAGUAUUGUGUCACGACCGCCCAACCUAACCGCGGUACGCGAUUAAAGACGGCCGAAAUAACUGUUACCGAAUGCACAAUGACGACGCGACGAACACGUGGACCAAUAGGUGGGCGUAUUUAGGUUAGACCCGUGGCGGGCCGUUCGCGACACUCGCGGAUUCAGCAUACCGGCCGACCACCUGU